rnacentral:lncRNA from 1 species
CUUCCGUCUACUCAUAAAGCUAUACCAUUGCUCCCAUGAAACCAACCAAUUGUAAUAAUAAGAACAACAGAUCAGGCAUUAAAAAUCGGGCCAGUAAGUUAUAAUGGAAAGCAGCAUAUGGUAUCUUGAUUUUGCAUUCCCACCAAUGCUCGGGGACAAUGAUUUUACCGAUGCCGGAUUGGUACUCAAUUCUCGUGCUCCGCAACAGCUCGAACGGGUGUUUGUGUUGCUCCCACAGUUAUUCCCAGUUGUUCUUCAUUUGCGAUGUGGUCCAAUUCUUUUCUGCCGUCCAAUUGAAGAUCUCUGCGAUACGCUGCCAUCCUUUGUGGAGAAGCAUUUGCCACAUUGGUGGCCUUUAGCAGUCACCGUUUCGCACGUUGCAAUGAAAAUCUUGUGCUCUGGUGAGUUCCAUUUGGCAGCCUGCCGCACCGUUGGCUGUGUGUCUUGGGGGUCGGAUGCAGAAGAAUGCAUCGGGUGGAUGCCACUCAUUUUAUGUAACGUAGUUUUGCCAUAAGUGUACGAUAUCAAGUUUUGUAGUAUAUUGAUAAAAUAAAAAGUGUCGAACCCUCAGGGAUUGAUAAUUGAAUCAUAUGGAGUACUUUAAUGAUUUUGAAUUUUCACUUUAUUUAGACGAUCAAAUGUUA